AUGAAACCAAUCUUCAAACCGCCAAACACCGCCAUCAAAACGGUGGAUGAGCUCAUUGACACGACCAACUGGUCUUGGCGGCAGGAUGUGGUUAGGGAAACUUUCAGCGCCCCAGAUGCCGAAGCCAUUCUAAACAUUCCUAUCAGGCAAGGGGGAGGUGAGGAUUCUUUUGCUUCGGCAUUCGAGAAAUCAGGCAACUACACUGUGAAGACAGCGUACCAUGCUCUAAUGACUCAGAAAGAGCGUUUGGCUCUAGAGGAAGGGACGGCUACCGGAACCUCAGUGGACGAUCAACAGUUCUGGAAGGCCUUAUGGAAACUGAAUGUCAUACCGAAAGUGAGGGUUUUC
rnacentral:rRNA from 1 species